rnacentral:tRNA from 1 species
GCCCUUGUGGUGCAGUGGCACAGCGUCUUACUGUAAUCGUACCUGUUGUGGGUUCGAUUACCACUCGGGGGUA